AGUGAACGCUGGCGGUAGGCCUAACACAUGCAAGUCGAACGGCAGCACAGUAAGAGCUUGCUCUUACGGGUGGCGAGUGGCGGACGGGUGAGGAAUACAUCGGAAUCUACUUUUUCGUGGGGGAUAACGUAGGGAAACUUACGCUAAUACCGCAUACGACCUACGGGUGAAAGCAGGGGAUCUUCGGACCUUGCGCGAUUGAAUGAGCCGAUGUCGGAUUAGCUAGUUGGCGGGGUAAAGGCCCACCAAGGCGACGAUCCGUAGCUGGUCUGAGAGGAUGAACCGCCACACUGGAAAUGAGACACGGUCCAGACUCCCACGGGAGGAAGCAGUGGGGAAUUUUUGGAAAUGGGCGAAAGCCUGACUCAGCCAAACCGCGUGGGUGAAGAAGGCCUUCGGGUUGGAAAACCCUUUUUGUGGGGAAGAAAAAACGGCGGAUUAAUCCCCCACGUUUUGACGGUACCCAAACAAAAAGCCACGGCUAACUUCGUG
rnacentral:rRNA from 1 species